CUUUGCUCAGUUGGUAGAGCAGAGGGCUGAAAAUCCUUGUGCCGCUGGUUCGAUUCCGGCUCUGGG
rnacentral:tRNA from 1 species